AGAACUUUUGAUCAUCCUAGACCUGGCUCUUUGAAAAGCAUGAAUAUGUAAAACAAUGAACAAAAAAUUACAACUUGAAUUCCAACAUGCGAAUGGUAUAUGGCUAACAAAUUUCACUAAAGAACACCACAUCAUAUUGAAGUAUUAUACACUUUAUGGACAUGAUUUUCCGUGAACUACGUUUGAAGCUAUACAUGCCAGAUAUCGGCCACAGAACUGUUACAUAAUGAACGCCUCAUUUUUAGAACUGUUCAUUAUAGUAAAUAACCAGCCAAAAAACCUCAAAUGGCCUUGGAGAAGUGAUGGCAAUUCUGGAUCGACGACAGAUGUUCUUGGCAAGCUUUCAAGAAAAACACAGCCCUACCAUUUAGAAUUGAGAGGUCUUCAUGAAAUCUCUAUGUUUUUAUUGUAAAACAAUAGACAAAACAUUUAUCAAGCUCCGUCUUCAAAUGCUUGCAACUUUCAAUACCAAGUCUCGCAUAGCUGAAUAUCUGCUCUAUGUAUGAAUUGGUUUGGUCUCAUGAAAAGGACCAUUUCUUUAUGCAGUUCCGGCUAUCAACCUUUCCCGUUGAUCAAAUUUUUUUGACCUUUACAAUGCCAAA
rnacentral:misc_RNA from 1 species